UGGGGAAUUUUGGACAAUGGGCGAAAGCCUGAUCCAGCAAUGCCGCGUGUGUGAAGAAGGCCUUCGGGUUGUAAAGCACUUUGUCCGGAAAGAAAUCCUUGGCUCUAAUACAGUCGGGGGAUGACGGUACCGGAAGAAUAAGCACCGGCUAACUACGUGCCAGCAGCCGCGGUAAUACGUAGGGUGCAAGCGUUAAUCGGAAUUACUGGGCGUAAAGCGUGCGCAGGCGGUUUGCUAAGACCGAUGUGAAAUCCCCGGGCUCAACCUGGGAACUGCAUUGGUGACUGGCAGGCUAGAGUAUGGCAGAGGGGGGUAGAAUUCCACGUGUAGCAGUGAAAUGCGUAGAGAUGUGGAGGAAUACCGAUGGCGAAGGCAGCCCCCCUGGGGCCAAUACUGACGCUCAUGCACG
rnacentral:rRNA from 1 species